CCUUCUUCCCCGUCACGGCCACAGCGAAUCCCGUGGGCUGCCCGGCAGGGCCUGCGCCCGCCGCCCGCCCCCGGCACUGGCCAGGGAAGGGGCCGCGUUGCGCGGGGAGACCCCGCAGGCCAGGACCGGGGCCGGGACCGGGCGGAGCGCGGCGGGGCCUCACCUCCAGCUUGUCGAGCACACCAACAUCCCUGUUGAGUGCAGAAGCCUCCUGGGAACUUGCUGUGGGCAUGAAAGAGAAGCAAUACACAAGAUCCAUUGCUCUGAGGAAAACUGGAGAGCUAAGUGGUGGGAAGAGCAGAAAGUAGAAAAUAUUCUACCUUAGUACUGAGGUCUGCUGCUGCUCAUUCUACUUAAGUGAGGUUAUUACCAGGAGCAGCUGUCAAGUUCAAGGAGUGAUACAUAACUUGGCUG